AUUGAACGCUGGCGGAAUGCUUUACACAUGCAAGUCGAACGGCAGCACGGACUUCGGUCUGGUGGCGAGUGGCGAACGGGUGAGUAAUGUAUCGGAACGUGCCCAGUCGUGGGGGAUAACGUAGUGAAAAUUACGCUAAUACCGCAUACGAUCUAUGGAUGAAAGCGGGGGAUCGCAAGACCUCGCGCGAUUGGAGCGGCCGAUAUCAGAUUAGGUAGUUGGUGGGGUAAAGGCCCACCAAGCCAACGAUCUGUAGCUGGUCUGGGAGGACGACCAGCCACACUGGAACUGAGACACGGUCCAGACUCCUACGGGAGGCAGCAGCGGGGAAUUUUGGACAAUGGGCGAAAGCCUGAUCCAGCCAUUCCGCGUGCAGGAUGAAGGCCCUCGGGUUGUAAACUGCUUUUGUACAGAACGAAAAGGUUUCUACUAAUACUAGGAGCUCAUGACGGUACUGUAAGAAUAAGCACCGGCUAACUACGUGCCAGCCGCCGCGGUAA
rnacentral:rRNA from 1 species